UCCUACGGGAGGCAGCAGUGGGGAAUUUUGGACAAUGGGGGAAACCCUGAUCCAGCCAUCCCGCGUGUGCGAUGAAGGCCUUCGGGUUGUAAAGCACUUUUGUCAGGGAAGAAAAGGUUCUGGCUAAUACCCGGAACUGAUGACGGUACCUGAAGAAUAAGCACCGGCUAACUACGUGCCAGCAGCCGCGGUAAUACGUAGGGUGCAAGCGUUAAUCGGAAUUACUGGGCGUAAAGCGUGCGCAGGCGGUUCGGAAAGAAGGAUGUGAAAUCCCAGGGCUCAACCUUGGAACUGCAUUCUUAACUACCGAACUAGAGUAUGUCAGAGGGGGGUAGAAUUCCGCGUGUAGCAGUGAAAUGCGUAGAUAUGCGGAGGAAUACCGAUGGCGAAGGCAGCCCCCUGGGAUAAUACUGACGCUCAUGCACGAAAGCGUGGGUAGCAAACAGGAUUAGAUACCCUGGUAGUCCACGCCCUAAACGAUGUCAACUAGCUGUUGGGCCCUUCGGGGCUUAGUAGCGUAGCUAACGCGUGAAGUUGACCGCCUGGGGAGUACGGUCGCAAGAUUAAACUCAAAGGA
rnacentral:rRNA from 1 species